AUUGAACGCUGGCGGCAGGCUUAACACAUGCAAGUCGAGCGAGCGGCGGAAGGGUGGGUAAUGUCUGGGAAACUGCCUGAUGGAGGGGGAUAACUACUGGAAACGGUAGCGAAUACCGCAUACCAUCAGAUGUGCCCAGAUGGGAUUGGCUAGUAGGUGGGGUAAUGCCUCACCUAGGCGACGAUCCCUAGGUGGUCGGAGAGGAUGACCAGCCAGACUGGAACUGAGACACGGUGCAGACUCCUACGGUGGGAAGCAGUGGGGAAUCUUGCACAAUGGGCGCAAGCCUGAUGCAGCCAUGCCGCGUGUGUGAAGAAGGCCUUCGGGUUGUAAAGCACUGUCAGCGAGGAGGCGUUACUCGCAGAAGAAGCACCGGCUAACUCCGUGCCAGCAGCCGCGGUAAUUC
rnacentral:rRNA from 1 species